GCCGGGGCCUGGUAGGUGGCGGGUUACCGGGCCCAGCGGGACAGGGGACGAGGGGGCGGGGCGGGGGUGGCGUCGCCCCCUCUGACCUCUGCCCUGUGCCCUCCCCCAGCGAUGGGCGUGCAGCCCCCCAACUUCUCCUGGGUGCUCCCGGGCCGGCUGGCGGGGCUGGCGCUGCCGCGGCUCCCCGCCCACUACCAGUUCCUGCUGGACCGGGGCGUGCGGCACCUGGUGUCGCUGACGGAGCGCGGGCCCCCGCACAGUGACAGCUGCCCCGCGCUCACCCUGCACCGCCUGCGCAUCCCGGACUUCUGCCCGCCGGCGCCAGACCAGAUCGACCGCUUCGUGCAGAUCGUGGACGAGGCCAACGCCCGGGGAGAGGCCGUGGGAGUGCACUGUGCCCUGGGCUUUGGCCGCACUGGCACCAUGCUGGCCUGUUACCUGGUGAAGGAGCAGCACUUGGCUGCAGGAGACGCCAUCGCUGAAAUCCGGCGCCUUCGACCUGGCUCCAUCGAGACCUACGAGCAGGAGAAAGCAGUCUUCCAGUUCUAUCAGCGAACUAAAUAAGAGGCCUCUGCCCCUCUCUGCCCCUUCUCCCCUGCUCUGUGUGCAGGCUGGGCUGAAUAAGGUAGAAAUUCGUCGUGAAAUGUGUACUGAGUGCCUAUGUGUACCAGGCUCUGUUAGAUGCGGAGACUACCCAGUCGAAUGAGAUGUGAUUGCUGCUCGCAGGAGCUCACAGCCUCCUGGAAAAGAUGGGCACAGACAGAGUCCAGCCCCAGAUGAGGGAACUGAGAUUUCGAGAGAUGAGCGACACACUUGCAUUGAAGGAGCUGAGACACGAACCCAAGUCCUGACUCCAGAGCUCAUGCUUCUUUGACCAGACAUCCUGCCUCCCAGGACUUUCCCAGGUUCCAGCGACACAGGGAAGCCUGUCUUCAUGAUUAGGGCUUGGUCUCAUGGGCCCUCUCAUCAGCACGUCCUCGAAUGAGCACGCUCCGCUCUUCAUUCUCUCGGGAGAUCAGAGAACAACCCUGCCCCUGACACUGAAGUCGGUAACACCUGAAUUAUUCAUAUGUGCUGCUCUUUAAAAUGGGGCCCAAGCAUUUAAGGCCAAAAUGGUGAAACUGAUUCAUCAGGCGGGUUCUGUCUCAUCCACUAUGGUCUUAGCUGGGAGCAUGCAGAUGUCCUCACCCAGCAGGACAGCCUUGAGGAGUGUGUAACUGGCAUCAAGACCUCAAAAAUGUAUGAUUAUUUAUUAAAGACCCUAAUACUUUU